GAUGAACGCUGGCGGCGUGCCUAAUACAUGCAAGUCGAGCGAACAGACGAGGAGCUUGCUCCUCUGACGUUAGCGGCGGACGGGUGAGUAACACGUGGAUAACCUACCUAUAAGACUGGGAUAACUUCGGGAAACCGGAGCUAAUACCGGAUAAUAUAUUGAACCGCAUGGUUCAAUAGUGAAAGACGGUUUUGCUGUCACUUAUAGAUGGAUCCGCGCCGCAUUAGCUAGUUGGUAAGGUAACGGCUUACCAAGGCAACGAUGCGUAGCCGACCUGAGAGGGUGACCGGCCACACCGGAACUGAGACACGGUCCAGACUCCUAAGGGAGGCAGCAGUAGGGAAUCUUCCGCAAUGGGCGAAAGCCUGACGGAGCAACGCCGCGUGAGUGAUGAAGGUCUUCGGAUCGUAAAACUCUGUUAUUAGGGAAGAACAAAUGUGUAAGUAACUAUGCACGUCUUGACGGUACCUAAUCAGAAAGCCACGGCUAAGUACGUG
rnacentral:rRNA from 1 species